UUUUCUGUUAGUUCUUUUCAGUACUUCUCUUGUAAGAGUGUGAAAGAGCUGGAAGAUGAAGAAAACAAAAAAAUCAGGAGGGAAGAAUGACACGAGACAUGCAUAGCAAAUAUUAUGGAAUACUCAUUUGAGCAAGAAAAUAUUAGAUACUUGUGUUCUAUGAAGUUGGAAAAGUUUAAUAGCUAGGAAGCCUCGACAUAGAAACUUCACCAUUAAUUUCAAUGGUGAAAAAGAAAGAUUUAGUAUUUUAUUAGAUAAAAUAACUAACUAAAAUAUCAUUUAAAAUAUUAUGUAAAAUCUUAAAUAAACUUUGUAUGGAUGUUGAUGAUAUGAAGAGAUUUUUUUUUUAGUUUAA